rnacentral:rRNA from 1 species
UACGGAGGGUGCAAGCGUUGUUCGGAAUUACUGGGCGUAAAGAGCGUGUAGGCGGUCUAUUAAGUCAGGUGUGAAAGCCCUUGGCUCAACCAAGGAAGUGCAUCUGAAACUGAUCGACUUGAGUACGGGAGAGGAGAGUGGAAUUCCUGGUGUAGAGGUGAAAUUCGUAGAUAUCAGGAGGAACACCGGUGGCGAAGGCGACUCUCUGGACCGAUACUGACGCUGAGACGCGAAAGCUUGGUGAGCAAACAGG